CCCUAUUAUUCUAUUAUUAUACAAUAUUUCAAGGAAAAAAAACAAAAUAAAUUUGACGGUAUUAAAUUUUACAAAGGAAUUUGUUUCUUAAUCGAAAAUACACGACAAACCUUACUUAAUUUAUAUUUGUAUACCACCGUAUAAAGUAAUUAUAUAAAAUAAAAUACAAAAGAAAUUAUCUUUUUACAUCAGGUCAAGGUGCAAUAUAAUUAAGAUGAAAUGAAUUACAUUUACAUUUUAUAUAAAAACUGAAAAUUUUUUAAAAAUUGAAUUUGUUAGUAAAAUAUAAUCAUCAUGUUUAUUUGAAAACUAUCAUUAAUAUGUACAUAUCGCCCG
rnacentral:rRNA from 1 species